rnacentral:rRNA from 1 species
CCCCCUCAAGAUGAGAUUUCCCAACUUCGGUUAUAAGAUCCCUCAAAGAUGAUGAGGUUAAUAGAUUCGAGGUGGAAGCAUGGUGACAUGUGGAGCUGACGAAUACUAAUCGAUCGAAGACUUAAUCAA